CAGUGAUGUUCUCUGCUGUAGAUGCAGCGCGACGCAGCACGGCGAAUCCUUGACAUGUGGUGAAAAGACAAGAACAUGUGACGAGGCAUCUGGCCCUCAGAUUCACCAGUAAAAAGCUUCUUCUGCUGUUUGUCCCAUGACCCCCCGUGCGAGCCUGACACACACCUUGACCUCCACAAAAAUACGAGAGCUUUCAUGCAAUACAAAUAUUAAUGAACAGUUCUUUUUCCAUUCCACAUAUCCCUCAAAAGAGCUAAAACGGCCUCAGUAUCAGCUACCUUUUGACAGAUUGCCAGCGUGUGUUCCUUGGGAACUGAACCCAUGAACGCAACUUUGUUAGCGCCAUGCUCUACCAGUCAAACUACAGCAACAAUAUAACUGUUGUUGGAAAUUUACAAUAAAGGACAUCUUUGGUUUACAAACUGCCAUUAAAAGCAGAGCACAGUAAUUUGUAUUAGAUUAGCGGACCC
ensembl:lncRNA